rnacentral:misc_RNA from 1 species
AAGGAUCAUUACAGUGUUUAGGUGUGGUGCGCCCCACUCCCAAGAAGGGGUGGCCAGCGCACCCCCGAAACCCCCACCCUUGAAUACUAUACCUGUUGCUUCGGCGGGCCCGCCCCCGGGCCGCUGGGCGGGAUAUCCCCUAGCCAGUGCCCGCCGGAGAAAAAUUUGAACCCUAUGUGAAUAUUUGACUGUCUGAGUGGGCUUAUGAAUCGUUAAAACUUUCAACAAUGGAUCUCUUGGUUCCG